rnacentral:rRNA from 1 species
UACGUAGGGAGCAAGCGUUGUUCGGAUUUACUGGGCGUAAAGGGCGCGUAGGCGGCAAUUCAAGUCAUCUGUGAAAUCUCCGGGCUUAACUCGGAACGGUCAGAUGAUACUGCUUUGCUAGAGUGCAGAAGGGGCAAUCGGAAUUCUCGGUGUAGCGGUGAAAUGCGUAGAUAUCGAGAGGAACACCAGAGGUGAAGACGGGUUGCUGGGCUGACACUGACGCUGAGGCGCGAAAGCAUGGGGAGCGAACAGG